CCUACGGGAGGCAGCAGUGAGGAAUAUUGGUCAAUGGGCGGGAGCCUGAACCAGCCAAGUCGCGUGAGGGAAGACGGUCCUAUGGAUUGUAAACCUCUUUAGGCGGGGAGCAAUGCCGGGCACGCGUGCCCGGAGGGAGAGUACCCGCAGAAUAAGCAUCGGCUAACUCCGUGCCAGCAGCCGCGGUAAUACGGAGGAUGCGAGCGUUAUCCGGAUUUAUUGGGUUUAAGGGGUGCGUAGGCGGAUUUUUAAGUCAGCGGUAAAAUGUCCGGGCUCAACCCGGGCCGGCCGUUGAAACUGGGGAGCUUGAGUGGGGGAGAGGUAUGCGGAAUGCGUGGUGUAGCGGUGAAAUGCAUAGAUAUCACGCAGAACUCCGAUUGCGAAGGCAGCAUACCGGCGCCCGACUGACGCUGAGGCACGAAAGCGUGGGGAUCGAACAGGAUUAGAUACCCCAGUAGUC
rnacentral:rRNA from 1 species